GGGCGCGUAGCUCAGUUGGUUAGAGCGCCUGCUUCACACGCAGGAGGUCACAGGUUCGAGUCCUGUCGCGCCCACCA
rnacentral:tRNA from 10 species